rnacentral:tRNA from 1 species
GCGUAGGUCCAGGUCAGAGUUUCCCCAGUCUAGGACGCUUGAUCUUGGAAGACUUCCCAAGCUGACAGCGCGGGUUCGAUUCCCGUCACCCGCU